UGCAUUCACCGAAAGAAGCUUAGUGGCGAACGGGUGAGUAACACGUAGGCAACCUGCCCAAAAGAGGGGGAUAACACUUGGAAACAGGUGCUAAUACCGCAUAACCAUGAACANCGCAUGAUGUUCAUGUAAAAGACGGCUUUUGCUGUCACUUUUGGAUGGGCCUGCGGCGUAUUAACUUGUUGGUGGGGUAACGGCCUACCAAGGUGAUGAUACGUAGCCGAACUGAGAGGUUGAUCGGCCACAUUGGGACUGAGACACGGCCCAAACUCCUACGGGAGGCAGCAGUAGGGAAUCUUCCACAAUGGACGAAAGUCUGAUGGAGCAACGCCGCGUGAAUGAAGAAGGCCUUCGGGUCGUAAAAUUCUGUUGUCAGAGAAGAACGUGCGUGAGAGUAACUGUUCACGUAUUGACGGUAUCUGACCAGAAAGCCACGGCUAACUACGUGCCAGCAGCCGCGGUAAUACGUAGGUGGCGAGCGUUGUCCGGAUUUAUUGGGCGUAAAGGGAACGCAGGCGGUCUUUUAAGUCUGAUGUGAAAGCCUUCGGCUUAACCGAAGUAGUGCAUNGAAACUGGAAGAC
rnacentral:rRNA from 1 species